rnacentral:rRNA from 1 species
UGGUGGAGUGAUUUGUCUGCUUAAUUGCGUUAACGAACGAGACCUUCCCGUGCUUACUAGACGGUUGAUUUUACAAUCGGCUGCUCUUCUUAGACGGACAUUUGGCGCUUAAGUCAAAGGAAGUUGGAGGCAAUAACA